rnacentral:rRNA from 1 species
UUGGUGGGGUAAUGGCCUACCAAGGCGACGACGGGUAGCCGGCCUGAGAGGGUGACCGGCCACACUGGGACUGAGACACGGCCCAGACUCCUACGGGAGGCAGCAGUGGGGAAUAUUGCACAAUGGGCGAAAGCCUGAUGCAGCGACGCCGCGUGAGGGAUGACGGCCUUCGGGUUGUAAACCUCUUUCGCCAGGGACGAAGCGCAAGUGACGGUACCUGGAUAAGAAGCACCGGCUAACUACGUGCCAGCAGCCGCGGUAAUACGUAGGGUGCGAGCGUUGUCCGGAUUUAUUGGGCGUAAAGAGCUCGUAGGCGGUUUGUCGCGUCGGCCGUGAAAUCUCCACGCUUAACGUGGAGCGUGCGGUCGAUACGGGCAGACUUGAGUUCGGUAGGGGAGACUGGAAUUCCUGGUGUAGCGGUGAAAUGCGCAGAUAUCAGGAGGAACACCGGUGGCGAAGGCGGGUCUCUGGGCCGAUACUGACGCUGAGGAGCGAAAGCGUGGGGAGCGAACAGGAUUAGAUACCCUGGUAGUCCACGCUGUAAACGUUGGGCGCUAGGUGUGGGCGACAUCCACGUUGUCCGUGCCGUAGCUAACGCAUUAAGCGCCCCGCCUGGGGAGUACGG